UUUUUGGUAAAAGUAAAAAGUAGGGUCUGCCCAGUGAGUAAUUUUAACGGCCGCAAUAUUUGUGCGAAGGUAGCAUAAUCAUUUGUCUUUUAAUUGAUGACUGGAAUGAAUGGCUGGACGGGGAUAAGCUGUCUUAUGUAUAUAUAUUUGAAAUUUACUUUUAAGUAAAAAGGCUUAAAUAUUUUAGAGGGACGAGAAGACCCUAUUGAGUUUAAUAGAAUUUAUUUAAAYUUUUCUUAAAUUUWUAUGUAAUCUAUUUAGUUGGGGAGAUUUGAUAUUAUUAACUAUAUAAGAAUUAAUAGACUUCAAGUUUUUAGGAUCCAUAUUUUAUGAGUGUUAAGGUAAAUUACCUUAGGGAUAACAGCGUAAUAUUUUUUUAGAGUUCAAAUCGAUUAAAAUGAUUACGACCUCGAUGUUGGAUUAAGGAACCUAAUUUGGAGAAGAUUUUAAUUUACGUAGUCU
rnacentral:rRNA from 1 species